rnacentral:tRNA from 1 species
GCCCGGUGAGCGGCUCGGCGCCGCCGACGCCGCCGUCGUCGGUGUAGGUCGCCUCGAACAGGGCGAAGACGUUCGCCUCGGCGCCGUGCCC